rnacentral:lncRNA from 1 species
GCUACUUGUGCAUAAGAAAAUAUAUUGUGAGCUUUUAGACAAAUUGAACCUUGCACUAUUGAGGAAUAUAUUGUGCAAGUUUUGGAAUUGAACCUUUAGACAAAUAUAUUGCGAGGUUUUAGACAAAUUGAACCUUGCACUAUUGAGGAAUAUAAGUGCAAGUUUUGGAAUUUCAAAAAGAAAAUACUUACAGCACAUUGUGGUAGGUUUAAGAAACUUUAUGAGAUUUAAGAAAUUUAUUUAUAGCUUAGCACACUAAGAUUUAAGAAAAUCACGGUCAUGACGUCUGACUUAGCAAUUUCAACAUUUCUGUCGGUUAAACUAGGAUUUGUGGACCACAAGCACUCGAUUUUAAACAUAAAGAAAAUCACUUGCAAGAUGAUAAUAAAGUUAGCCAAACUCAUUAUCAUUCUCUUCAUUCUACAGACUCUCUAAGUUGUAAGAUAUAUGAGGAUCAUCCUUUGGAUUGUGUUAGUUAUAUAUAACUUCUUAUUACAAAAUCAAACACCUUUCCUUUUAUAUAUCCUCAGGUUCAUCUAAACUUAAGAGAUAUAGUGUAAGCCUAAUAUAAUACAUUGUU